GGGUCAGUAGGUUGGUCGUGCCACCGGUACGUACUGGUCUCACUGAUUCCUCCUUCCCGAAGAACCGUAAUGCCAUUAAUUUGGUGUUGCGGGGAAACAGGACUGUUACUUUGAAGAAAUUAGAGUGUUUAAAGCAAGCCAACGCUUGAAUACAUUAGCAUGGAAUAAUGAAAUAGGACGAUCGAUCCUAUUUUGUUGGUUUCUAGGAUUGACGUA
rnacentral:rRNA from 1 species